rnacentral:rRNA from 2 species
UCAGUUAUCGUUUAUUUGAUAGUACCUUACUACUUGGAUAACCGUGGUAAUUCUAGAGCUAAUACAUGCUAAAAACCCCGACUUCGGAAGGGGUGUAUUUAUUAGAUAAAAAACCAAUGCCCUUCGGGGCUCCUUGGUGAUUCAUAAUAACUUAACGAAUCGCAUAGCCUUGUGCUGGCGAUGGUUCAUUCAAAUUUCUGCCCUAUCAACUUUCGAUUGUAUGGUAUUGGCUUACAAUGGUUUCAACGGGUAACGGGGAAUUAGGGUUCUAUUCCGGAGAGGGAGCCUGAGAAACGGCUACCACAUCCAAGGAAGGCAGCAGGCGCGCAAAUUACCCAAUCCCGACACGGGGAGGUAGUGACAAUAAAUACUGAUACAGGGCUCUUUUGGGUCUUGUAAUUGGAAUGAGUACAAUUUAAAUCCCUUAACGAGGAACAAUUGGAGGGCAAGUCUGGUGCCAGCAGCCGCGGUAAUUCCAGCUCCAAUAGCGUAUAUUAAAGUUGUUGCAGUUAAAAAGCUCGUAGUUGAACCUUGGGUUUGGUUGGUCGGUCCGCCUCACCGCGUGCACUGAUCCGACCGAAUCUUUCCUUCUGGGGAACCGUAUGCCCUUCACUGGGUGUGCUGGGGAACCAGGACUUUUACUUUGAAAAAAUUAGAGUGUUCAAAGCAGGCCUAUGCUCGAAUACAUUAGCAUGGAAUAAUAGAAUAGGACGUGUGGUUCUAUUUUGUUGGUUUCUAGGACCGCCGUAAUGAUUAAUAGGGAUAGUCGGGGGCAUCAGUAUUCAAUUGUCAGAGGUGAAAUUCUUGGAUUUAUUGAAGACUAACUACUGCGAAAGCAUUUGCCAAGGAUGUUUUCAUUAAUCAGUGAACGAAAGUUAGGGGAUCGAAGACGAUCAGAUACCGUCGUAGUCUUAACCAUAAACUAUGCCGACUAGGGAUCGGGCGUGUUAUCUUUUUGACCCGCUCGGCACCUUACGAG